AUUGAACGCUGGCGGCAUGCCUUACACAUGCAAGUCGAACGGUAACAGGUCUUCGGAUGCUGACGAGUGGCGAACGGGUGAGUAAUACAUCGGAACGUGCCUAGUAGUGGGGGAUAACUACUCGAAAGAGUGGCUAAUACCGCAUGAGAUUUACGGAUGAAAGCAGGGGAUCGCAAGACCUUGUGCUACUAGAGCGGCCGAUGGCAGAUUAGGUAGUAGGUGGGAUAAAAGCUUACCAAGCCGACGAUCUGUAGCUGGUCUGAGAGGACGAUCAGCCACACUGGGACUGAGACACGGCCCAGACUCCUACGGGAGGCAGCAGUGGGGAAUUUUGGACAAUGGGCGCAAGCCUGAUCCAGCAAUGCCGCGUGCAGGAUGAAGGCCUUCGGGUUGUAAACUGCUUUUGUACGGAACGAAAAGCCCUGGGUUAAUACCCUGGGGUCAUGACGGUACCGUAAGAAUAAGCACCGGCUAACUACGUGCCAGCCGCCGCGGUAAUAC
rnacentral:rRNA from 1 species